AGGUGUGUUGAGCAUUAGCCAAUAAGAAGGGAAAGGACGCGUGAUCACCGGGUGAUGUGCAGCGUGCAAUCAAUAUGAAAACAGCGUGGUACACAACUGCCUUGGCAUGUAAAACCGAUGAGGAUUCUGGGAUGGGUGAGUGACGGCGAUUUUGGAAUGGUGCCCCGAUGGGCCACUGGAUGAGAGACAGGAAGGCCAGACACAUUCCCCUCUGGAAGGUCCACUGAGGACGCUGCCCUGUUAUAUUGAUCCGAUAAACUGCAGCUGUCUCGCCAUUCUUCUAUGCUUGGUAUAUUGGAACAGCUCCAUAAUAAACAGACAGCGCCCCUAUGCCUUAAUUUCUGGUCCCAAGAAUCUAUGAACUAUCAGUAAAUAGCUGAUGAAUAAAUAGCUGGUUUUGAUUUGUUAGCAAACAUUUUCCCUGUUAAAAUCUCUUAGGAGCCUAUUCAGAGCUGAGAGGGCAAGGUCAACUUAAGCCCGAACACUUGCACAAAAAAGGUGAAAUAU